AAACCCUCUGGCGCAACACAGAAGGGUAAAGCGAGGCUCCAUAAAGCCCAGAGACGAGGCCGGUAGAACUCCUCUUUGGAUCCUGUCUGGAGUCACAACU
rnacentral:snoRNA from 1 species